rnacentral:misc_RNA from 1 species
UACGGAGGGUGCAAGCGUUAAUCGGAAUGACUGGGCGUAAAGCGCGCGCAGGCGGCCAUGUAAGUCUGGUGUUUAAGCCCGGGGCUCAACCCCAAAGCUGCAUUUGAAACUGCUAAGCUAGAGUGCAGUUAGGGAAAACGGAAUUCCACGUGUAGCGGUGAAAUGCGUAGAUAUGUGGAAGAACACCGGUGGUGAAGACGGUUUUCUGGGCUGUAACUGACGCUGAGGCGCGAAAGCAUGGGGAGCAAACAGG